GCUUACGAGCGAGAGAAUACCGCCCCAGUUGGAUCGGCGAUCGGCUUCUCCGAUGAUCCCGCGGUGGUGGCGGCGGCGGCGGCGGCGGCGGCCUUGCGUGGGGGCAUGGGCGCGUAGACCACGGCGGCUCCCUCCUCCCCUCCGCUUCCUCAGGUAAGAAGAUUUGCUGAGAACAGAUUUAUAUUGUUUGCAAAGAAGAUACGAUUGUAAGAAGAUUUGCCAAGAACAAACUUACUUACAUUGUUUGCAAAGAAGAUACGGUUGUAGUGGUACUUUUCAAGAGGGUAGAUCCAGGAGUUGGCAACAAACACAAUAGUGCCACAGCCAGGGACAUCGUUGAGGAUGAUGGUCUUGAGGAAAAACUUGGUGCUGUGGUGGUUCUUGACAAUGAUGGCUCCUGGCACACCAUGCUUGUCCAUGUCCCAGUCGAACCUUACCUUGAAGUUGGAUUCUGCAUGUGUUAGCGAUGGUAAGUUUGACAACCCUUGCUCCAUCUUUGCCUCUGAUCCAACAAUGCCCCUGCCCCCAUUGUCUGCAGAAAGUAUACAUUCAACAGACAUUAGGUUAGUCACUUUAUUUGUGUCACUGGUGCUUUGCAGCUCGUUUCCUUCAAUCUGUGCUGACCGUCAAUUCUUUCUACAUAGCAAAUAUGCACAGGCUUGAGUAAAGUAAGUAAGGAGAAAUAGAGUGGUACUUGGAUCGGUGACAGUGGCACUGACAAGUUGGCAGGUGAUGCUGUUGCCAACGAGCUCUUGGAUGUUGUCGAAGAGUGAGGCAGUGAAGUCCCUUGGGUCCAGUAUUUUUCGGCUCAUCAGCACAGCCGUGCCUUUGAUCUUAUUUGCAUUUUUCCCUGUCAGCUUGUCCUUGAGCCCUCCCAGCAUCUUGCGAUACUGUUAUCACUGGCAAAAGUCUCUUUGUUGGUGGUAGUGGUGAUGAUGGGGUGUGUGUGUUGCAGUUGCAAUCGAUAGGGAGGAGCUCAGCGGUGGAGAUGAGUGUUUAUAGAAGGGGGCAAGGGAGGUUGGUGAUGUCGGUGUGGCUGUGGGUACCGGCUAUUUCUUGUAUGUUAAUGCAAUUAUGCAAGUGGAUAUUUCAUUUGGUUAUCAUUUAAGGAAGACCGAGCCCCAAGGCGUCAACUAGCUCAUUCACUUGGGCAACACACAGAGCUGACAAGGAAUCAUAAUUUUUACUCGUAUGAAGCUCAAGUUGUCAAGUUCAUGUUGGCAUUGAAAUGAACCAUUUGUGGACCUGAGCAAAGUUUUGGGAUAUGCUGCCAAAAUAUUCAUUGUAGGAUCACUUUGCGGUUUUCAUGGGUGUGAAUGCGUGAUACACAUGGCCGUCCUACCUGUUAUCAUAAUAUUUUUACAUUGUCCUUUUUAUACUGAGGUUUUAACCAUAUAGAAGUUUUGGCUUUCGAUUAGUAUCAGCUGUCAAGUCUCCUGUUAAAUAACUACCUGUUGAUCUCUUGGCUUUACUUGCUGGCAGAGUGGCAGGCACUUCAUCCGCAUAAUAUCUAAAUCGCCCCAUGGUGUGACGCCCAUUGACGACGACCUGAGCUACGGGCCUAAGGUGUGUUAAAGCUUUACUCCAAUCUUGGAUCUUGCAAACUGCAGUCUCAGAUUUAACUGGGAACAAAUGAAAUGAUGGGCAUGUGGAUAUUUAGGACAUGUUUGCAAGUGACCGUCUGCAGUCACUGGCCAAUUGCUUCCAUGAGUGUGCAGUGUUCUGUUAUCCAUCCAUCUCUUAAAUACUCCGUCUUACAAUACUUCUUAUCUCUCCAAAGAAUUCAUAUCGUGAAAGAUUCGUUGUAAAAAUGUGAGCCACAAUUGAACCUUCCAAUCAUAAAUGCAUGUGCUUCCAAUCAUAAAUGUAUGUGCU